UCGAGCGGUAGAGAGAAGCUUGCUUCUCUUGAGAGCGGCGGACGGGUGAGUAAUGCCUAGGAAUCUGCCUGGUAGUGGGGGAUAACGUUCGGAAACGGACGCUAAUACCGCAUACGUCCUACGGGAGAAAGCAGGGGACCUUCGGGCCUUGCGCUAUCAGAUGAGCCUAGGUCGGAUUAGCUAGUUGGUGGGGUAAUGGCUCACCAAGGCGACGAUCCGUAACUGGUCUGAGAGGAUGAUCAGUCACACUGGAAC
rnacentral:rRNA from 1 species